rnacentral:misc_RNA from 1 species
GAAGAAGAUGGUUUGACCAAGUUAUAUGAUUCAGAGGACACCAUGCAAUUUAAGAUUCAUUUCACAACUAAUGUUUAUUCCUAGUACAUAGUGCACAAAUGGUAUGUGAAUUAUAUGCCGUUGCAUGUAUCAACCAUGUGCUUUUCUAACUCACAAGCAUUGAUGAAAAAAAUAUUAACUUCUAACAGAAACACAAACAAAAACAAUAAACUCACCCGGCGAUCA